UGAUAACGUAUUACAUACAAAAUAGGGAGAAUUCUCAAAGAACAAAAGAAUCGUGAGUUGGCUUGAAGAAGAAAAAGAAUCGAAAGAAUAUUGAUCUAAUUAAUAGCUGUUAAUGUUGCCUCUAAGACAUGUUGCAUUCUGGAGGUAGACCUUGGGGAAAUCUCUGGGCGUCGGUGCAGUAGUUGUAGAUCAUGUAGUUCUUCUGGACCCAUUGUAACCUUUGCUGACUAGUGGAAUCCAGCUCCUGAGAGAGCCACGCAUUGUUGGUUGAGGAAGAAGAUGGAGAAUUUGAUUUACAGGAAGAUGCUCCAUUAGACCAGACACAGGCAUUGGCAUUGAAUUCUCUGUAAGAAGCAGUCAAUGGAGCUUGAGUCCAAUCUGUCUUUACCAGACCACCCCUUGUAGCCCAAUCAUCAGCGUUCCACAGGCUGGAGUAAAUUCUCAUCGGUUGGUUCUUUGGAAAUGGGACACCAAGUGACUCCAUGUUUUUGAACUCUCUAAUGGGUGUGCCAUCCACCGAGAAGCUGGAACAUAGUAUAACAAGAUUUGUCAAUCAAGCAAUUCCUACCAAAGAAUAAAAGAAAAAAAAAAUUGGGGCAAAAUGCAAAUUUUCAAUUUAAGGAACACUCACAUGAUACGUUGGGAAUUCCAGAGGAUGGAAUAGGUGUGGAAAUCUGCAGUUGGGUCAAACCAGAGAUAGAACUGUUGCUCUCUGUUUCCCUUUCCUUGACUGAACACAUUGGUAUGAAGAAUGUAAGGAUCCCCACUAAGGUUCCCCAGAAACUCAAAAUCAAUCUCAUCCCAUGUUGAUCCUUUGGAAGAUAGCUGCAGAUAGAAAUAUACAUCAGCAUUUGUGCCAUCAACAUCUACACGUCCUCGUAAAAAUUGCGGACACCAAGAAUUAAUUAGAGAAUAACUUACAUAGUAGGCAGUGACUGUGCCAGCAGAGUUGCCAUGGACAAGCUUGAGCUGCAUAUCAAUCUCGCCAAAAAGAUAUUCAUCCUUGGACUGGAAACCGGAGCCAGAAGCUUUGUCAAGGGAGAGAGUGAGAACCUCUCCGUUGUUGUCUAUCUUACCACGGCCAUCUCCCCAUGUGAUGUCAAAAUCUUGGUAGAAGUUGCUAGCAGAUGCCGCCAUGAGACAGCCCAUUACGAGAGACAUAAGCAAUAUAUAAUUGAAACUUGAAGUUGAACCCUUUUUUUUUUCUGGUUUGCCUGAGCAGAGAGAAUAUGUUGGAAUUUGAGACGUUAAUAGCUUGAUACUUUGGUGUGUUUGAGAAGAAGGAUAGAGCUUGGUAUUUAUAGUAAAGAAAAAGGUAGAGGAAAAGGCCGCGAAGCUCCGUUCAGCUUGGUUGUGCACAGUUGUAGAGUAGGAAACAUAUUAUAGAAGUAGCUGUCAAGAUUGCACCAACGAACAGGACCCAACCAAAACACAGUUUAUGAUAUCACGCGGUUUACCUCUAUUUGUUUGUUUCAUUUUUGUGUGUGUAAGAGGAAAGUGCAGUCCUUUCGGCUUAUUGGUGCUCAGUUCCUGUCGCCUUGUUAGGCUUUUGGCACUAUUAGCUCCGGCUCACUUCCAGAACCAUGCACACGCAGCAGCACCGCCUUUACUAACCGAACAAUCCAAAAUAUUAAAGGAUUAAAUAUGUAAAAAUCAUUUUUUCCCCAAAAAAAGGGAAAACUUAAAGAAAACCAAAUAAGAAAUCAUGUCAGCACUCAGUUGACUCCAUAAUAGUUCUAUUUUACCCUUAGUAAUAUUAAACAUUUAAUUUUGAUUUAAGAACUCGGAGACAAUCGACUAAGAAAUAAAUGAUAUGUGAGUCAUAACUAUUUAUUGCGUACAUAGCUGGUGGGAAUGCUUAUCUUUAUCACGUUAUUUAAUUUGUCUUCUUGAUUUUGAUUUUCUUUGGACGACUUCUUCUUAUUCUCUUGAACCUCUUCAACAUUCUUUUAUUUUUUGCUUGACUCAAUGUUGUUUCUGUAUUAAAAAAAAAUACCAAAUUUCUUGUCUUGUUCUCUGUUUUUUUAUUCAGUUUUCAUGACAUCAAGCAGUACCUUUCUUUCUUCCUCUUUUUUUCAAUUUUCAUGACAUCAAGCAGCACCUUUCUUUCUUUCUCUUUUCCAAACAUCACUAAUCUUGUCUCUGUAAAAUUAGAUUCUCAUGAUUACUUUUUUUUUAAUUAAGAAAAAAAAUUUAAAUCUUACUCUUUAAACAAAAAAAUAUAAACCAAUCAAUAAGUAAAACACUCAAAUGUGAAUUUUGUAACCAAUAAAAUUUGAAAAAUUGAUUGUUGGUCUAGAGAAGGCAUUCGACCAUUUUAAUGCCCAUCUUGUUGCAAGUCCAUGCUGUUAAGCUCGGCAAAUUUUCAUGAUUGCUUAUAUGUGAAAAAGCUCCUAUUUGUAUGUCGCACAUUCAAGUUAAAUGUGCUUACAAGAGGAUAUGAUUAAAGCUAUAUAAAAUAGAAGAUAAAAUAUCUGACAGACCAAUACAAGACAUGAAAUAAAUCACUAAGAAUGCAAUUGACACUACCACAUUGAAUAUGUCGAUGAUAAAUUAAUGUGGGAAGAGUGUGCGAUGGGAUGGCCCUUGCCCCUCCACCUUUGGCCCUGCCUUAAUAGUAACGCAGCGUGGAUGUACAUUUUGUUUCAAGAAUUAUUGAAUGAUAAAAACUUCUACCAAAAUUAAUCAAAAUUUGUUAUGAUUAAAUAUUAAAAUUUUUUAAGAAAAUCACUAGGGUUAUCCUUCUCAUAAAUGUAAACAUAACUAAUGGAAUAUUUAUUUUUAUCACGUUAUGUUCAUUUGUCUUCCUCACUUUGGUUUUCUUUUCCAAGUCCUUGUUUUCUUUGAAGUGUAAAAUCUGUGUCCCUGUUUUCUGAAGUCCUUGUUCUCUGUCCCAUAUAAAAAUAUUUAAAAUCUCUAAAUAUUGGUAUUUACUUCUUCGUCUCGAUUUGAUACAUAUACCCUCUAAAUGAAACUGAUCCAAGUCCAUCAAUUUGGGGAGAGAAGUAAACUCUUGUUGUUGCAUAUCAUAUGAUAACGUAUUACAUACAAAAUAGGGAGAAUUCUCAAAGAACAAAAGAAUCAUGAGUUGGCCUGAAGAAAAAGAAUUGAAAGAAUAUUCAUCUAAUUAACAGCCGUUAAUGUUGCCUCUAAGACAUGUUGCAUUCUGGAGGUAGACCUUGGGGAAAUCUCUUGGCGUCUGUGCAGUAGUUGUAGAUCAUGUAGUUCUUCUGGACCCAUUGUAGCCUUUGCUGACUAGAGGAAUCCAGCUCCUGAGAGAACCACGCAUUGUUGGUUGAGGCAGAAGAUGGAGAAUUUGAUUUGCAGGA
rnacentral:lncRNA from 1 species